rnacentral:rRNA from 1 species
UAAGUCUAAACGACUCUCGGCAACGGAUAUCUCGGCUCUCGCAUCGAUGAAGAACGUAGCGAAAUGCGAUACUUGGUGUGAAUUGCAGAAUCCCGUGAACCAUCGAGUCUUUGAACGCAAGUUGCGCCCGAAACCAUUCGGUUGAGGGCACGUYUGCUUGGGCGUC